rnacentral:lncRNA from 1 species
UCACCAGCAAUCUCAUCUUCAUCAAUGCUCAAGCCCAGUUUCAACAUCCUGUGAAUCCUAGCAGCGAAUGUGUUUGGAUCAUCCAGGCUAAAGCCAGAGGUCAAGAGGGCAGUCUCAAACAGCAGUAGCACAAGGUCCUUCACAGAUUUGUCAUUCUUGUCAACCUCAGCCCUCUUCCUUAACUCCUCCAUGAUUCCAUUGUCAGGAUUGAUCUCCAUUGUUUUCUUGCUAGAC